rnacentral:rRNA from 1 species
AGGCAGCCAUCUGGCCUAAUACUGACGCUGAGGUACGAAAGCAUGGGGAGCAAACAGGAUUAGAUACCCUGGUAGUCCAUGCCGUAAACGAUGUCUACUAGCCGUUGGGGCCUUUGAGGCUUUAGUGGCGCAGCUAACGCGAUAAGUAGACCGCCUGGGGAGUACGGUCGCAAGACUAAAACUCAAAUGAAUUGACGGGGGCCCGCACAAGCGGUGGAGCAUGUGGUUUAAUUCGAUGCAACGCGAAGAACCUUACCUGGCCUUGACAUACUAAGAACUUUCCAGAGAUGGAUUGGUGCCUUCGGGAACUUAGAUACAGGUGCUGCAUGGCUGUCGUCAGCUCGUGUCGUGAGAUGUUGGGUUAAGUCCCGCAACGAGCGCAACCCUUUUCCUUAUUUGCCAGCGGGUAAUGCCGGGAACUUUAAGGAUACUGCCAGUGACAAACUGGAGGAAGGCGGGGACGACGUCAAGUCAUCAUGGCCCUUACGGCCAGGGCUACACACGUGCUACAAUGGUCGGUACAAAGGGUUGCUACCUCGCGAGAGGAUGCUAAUCUCAAAAAGCCGAUCGUAGUCCGGAUCGCAGUCUGCAACUCGACUGCGUGAAGUCGGAAUCGCUAGUAAUCGCGGAUCAGAAUGCCGCGGUGAAUACGUUCCCGGGCCUUGUACACACCGCCCGUCACACCAUGGGAGUUUGUUGCACCAGAAGUAGGUAGUCUAACCGCAAGGAGGACGCUUACCACGGUGUGGCCGAUGACUGGGGGUGAAGUCGUAACAAGGUAACC